UCCUGGCUCAGGAUGAACGCUAGCUACAGGCUUAACACAUGCAAGUCGAGGGGCAGCAUGAACUUAGCUUGCUAAGUUUGAUGGCGACCGGCGCACGGGUGAGUAACACGUAUCCAACCUGCCGAUGACUCGGGGAUAGCCUUUCGAAAGAAAGAUUAAUACCCGAUGGCAUAGUUCUUCCGCAUGGUGGAACUAUUAAAGAAUUUCGGUCAUCGAUGGGGAUGCGUUCCAUUAGGUUGUUGGCGGGGUAACGGCCCACCAAGCCUUCGAUGGAUAGGGGUUCUGAGAGGAAGGUCCCCCACAUUGGAACUGAGACACGGUCCAAACUCCUACGGGAGGCAGCAGUGAGGAAUAUUGGUCAAUGGACGAGAGUCUGAACCAGCCAAGUAGCGUGAAGGAUGACUGCCCUAUGGGUUGUAAACUUCUUUUAUACGGGAAUAAAGUGAGGCACGUGUGCCUUUUUGUAUGUACCGUAUGAAUAAGGAUCGGCUAACUCCGUGCCAGCAGCCGCGGUAAUACGGAGGAUCCGAGCGUUAUCCGGAUUUAUUGGGUUUAAAGGGAGCGUAGGCGGACGCUUAAGUCAGUUGUGAAAGUUUGCGGCUCAACCGUAAAAUUGCAGUUGAUACUGGGUGUCUUGAGUACAGUAGAGGCAGGCGGAAUUCGUGGUGUAGCGGUGAAAUGCUUAGAUAUCACGAAGAACUCCGAUUGCGAAGGCAGCUUGCUGGACUGUAACUGACGCUGAUGCUCGAAAGUGUGGGUAUCAAACAGGAUUAGAUACCCUGGUAGUCCACACAGUAAACGAUGAAUACUCGCUGUUUGCGAUAUACAGUAAGCGGCCAAGCGAAAGCGUUAAGUAUUCCACCUGGGGAGUACGCCGGCAACGGU
rnacentral:rRNA from 1 species